rnacentral:tRNA from 1 species
GGGGGUGGAUGGGGAACUGGUGUCCUCCCUGGCCUUCAAAGCCAUGUGUGCGGUGUGGUGCAUCGCAGGUGAGUUCGAUUCUCACACACUCCCGCCA